CUUGCCAGCCGUUGAUGUAUGUGCGCGUGUGUGUUCCACUUCUGUGUUGUGGGUAGUCGCUGAAGCGCAUGCAUACUUUUCCGCCUUCGAUAUGAGUUCGGCGCUUCUUCCUCUUGCUUUGGACUCAAAAGAAAAGCUGGAGGCGACGUCGCGCUCACAAGUGCGCGUUUUGCCUCACCCACACCCUUCUCCAGAGAGACGCGUGGGCGGUACCCAGUGGCUGUUUCUCUUCACCAUUGUUUCCGCUUUUACAAAAAGUCAACGACACCAUCAACGGUGCGAAUGCCAAACAUGCGCUCCACCGCCGCCAAGAAGUCGUUCCAUCCACCUUUCAAGCAUACAGCUCCGUGCACCACUGCAGCAUCCACUCGCGCGGUAGCGCGACAGCUGCACCGCAGCCAGGCGUUUGCGCUACAUGCAGCGCCCUCCUUUGCAGAUGACCCCCGCGCACCAAAUACCUCGUCAACUCCUGCACCGCUCGCACCAGAUACGACUGUCGCGGCGUCCGAGCCCUUCACAGCGCCCAAGACGGCAUCGGAAUGCGACGCUGUCACCCCACCGCGAGGCGGGACAACCGAUCCUCUCCCCAGCACCGAGACUGACGUUGCCCUCGCGAGGUGUAGGCCUUCUCGCUGGCAGCUACAGCAGCGCAUCGACGCUCGCCGAGCCGAGCUCGAAGGCGCGAAAGCGUGGUCACUCGUAGCAGACACGCUGUAUUGGGUGAGAGUUUCGCAGGCGGCGCUGCAGCACUUGGCAGACUCUAAGGCAGCAGGCCAGGUGGAACAGGUAUUGUCAGAGCUUCACAUUGACCCGCUGACAGUGCUAUUCUCAGCGGAGGAAGGUAGCUUCUCUCACCAGUGAAUGAGCGCUCUUCUGUGCGCACGUGCACUCUUGCGGUUGACAGGGUGAGGCACCUGGGAUGCUCCCGCUAGCUGCACAUUACGAAAAGGCGAGCAACAAUACGAAGACAGAAAGCGAAACCAAAAAAAAGGAGCAAGAGGACGGCAUUUUGUCUUCACCUUGAUGGCUCGCACUUCGCCGAUGAUCGCACUGCUUCCCUUUUUUUUUUGCUUCAACGCUGCUGUUUGCCGCUUUUGGUAUCUUUUUUUUUUCUUACGCUGCGUCACGCACGAAAACAAUCAAGUAUGCAGAUCACUUGAGACAGGGCACCAGUCACAAGAGCGGCACACUAAUCGGCUGCGGUGCGACACUAACUGUGGCGUUGCAGUAUGCAUCCUGGCGAUGCACUUCGGUAAGGCCUCCGUUCAAAUCG
rnacentral:misc_RNA from 1 species